GAUUUGUCCCCAGUGCCUUAUUUAGUUCACUUGGUGAGGUCAUGUUUUCCUGGAUGGAGUUGAUGCUAGUAGAUGUUCUUCAGUGUCUGGACAUUAAAAUCUUGGGCAUGCAACACCAUAUGAGAGGUUUAAAAAAUAAAAUUUAAAGAGAGAAAAGUGGUGGGAUUGCUGAAUCAGACAGAGCCAAUAGAUGAUCAGUAAUGGUGGCCAAUCAUCAGCUAGAAAGAAAGUGCUUAGCAGGGCUUGAAAACACCAAAACUCUGAGACCACUGACCUUCAAAAACUUCAACAGCCCUGAGUGAAAAGCCCAAACACAUUUAUCUACCAUUCAAAGACGCUUCAUUGUCUGUUCUCUGUGCAUCUCAGUAGUCUCUUUUUACCACACUGUCUAUAUACUGCAUGAGCCAUUUAUAUGAAACUAUCUGACACUCCAAGGCAUCUUAUACUAUAUAUUCAACCAUGUAUCCCUAGUACCUAGCACAGUCCUGGCAUAUAGUUUGCUACUAAACUUUUACAGAAUGAAGGAAUUAUCUUGUAUCCAGGUUCCAAGUUUUAAGGUGAUUCUUCACUAAAAAAAGUAUUACAGUUCACAAAUAAUCUACUUCCCUUUUUACAAAUGGGAUCAAUUUUAAUCUUAUCUCCUAAUAACAUUACUUUCAUUUACUCUGAUCUAAAUAUACUGUCCUAAGAGAGCAAUAAGAAAGAGAGUUGAAGCUGGAGUUUGAAGAAUUGUACAUGGUCCUGUGAUACCCUACCUUGUUUUAACCUGAGUGACUCUCUCCUAGCAGAGAGAGAGCCGGACAGACUCCAUUUUAGUUUCUUCACGUGCAUCCCCCUUUACCUCCCACCCUUAAUUGCAUAACUAGUGUAAACUAACUCAAAGCAGGUCCAGGAAUGCACUUACUGAUAAGAUAUUGAGGCAAGCUGCACCAGCUGCUCCUGGGUACGCACUCGGUGAAUGUCACGCAAAACCCCUGCAUUUCUCUCUUUGUGAUGGUUUAAGCCCCUGCACCUGGAACUGUUUAUUUGUUUUGUAACUGUUAUUGUAACCAAUUAAUUUUUUAACUAUUUGCCAGCUCUGCUUCUGUAAAACUUGUUUCAGCUAAACUCCCCCCUCCCCUAUUUAGACCACGGCAUAAAAACAAAACCAGCCCCUUCCUCGGGGCCAAGAGAAUUUUGAGCAUUACAUGCCUCUUGGUUGCUGGCUAAUAAAGGACUCCUUAAUUUGUCUCAAAGUGUGGCGUUCCUCUAUAACUCGCUUGGUUACAACAGUCCACACUGUGGCCUGAGGUGCAUCGCCCACCUGAGCUUCAUCUGUUAUGUAUGUCAGGGAAUAUAAGCAGGGUGAGAGUGGCCUCAUCAGAGGACCCCAGAUCUCUGGCUUACCCAUCUGGCAAGCGCACCUCUGUGAGCAAAGACUUCAGAGCCAGAUGACAAGAACGGCCCAAGCAGUCCACCAGGGAAACCUGGGCCCAGUGUACAUCAAUGCAGAGCAUCAAGCAUGGCGUAACAGGUGCACAGUUGCCUACUCCUGUUCAGAGAUGACUGCAUCCCACAUACCGUAAAAUGAGGAAAUGCAGAGAAGCAGAAGUAACUGAAGAAGACAGCAGAAGCAACAAGGAGGGACAACCAGGACCUAGGAGGGCACCAUGCCAGAGACGCCUGGACCCCACGCUAGGCUCAGUGCCUGUUAUACUCUUGGGAUCCAGCACUUUCCCUCUCCAUCACAUGGCAUACUUGCCAUUAUUUGUUGUGUAAAAUAUUGUCCUUAGUUUUCACCUUUCCUAGGAGACACAGGCAGAGCCUGUGACACUACAGCUUCUGGCACACAGUAGGUAGGUGCAUCACAAACAUCUGCUGAGUUCACACACUCUUGCCUUCUCAAACCUUCCUGUCAAGUCUUCAGUGAAAAGGAAUUGCUGAUUGAGCAAGAAUUAAACUUCUAGAGACUCCUGGAUCCACUGAAGUUUGAGACAAGGUGAGAUUUGUUUACUGUCAUAUUCCUAGCUCAUAACAUAUUGUAGUCACUUAAAAAAGUUUGCUGAAUAAGUGAGUAAAUUGAUUCAUACGUCAUACUUAGCUAUAUAUUUUCUGAGUAGAAUUGAUAAAGUUAAUAGUUUAAGUCUAGUAUAAUUUUGCUUUACUCAUUCAACGAACCUGACAAUUCAACUAGGUGCCAGGCACACUGCUGCUGAAGAAAAAGAGGUAUAAGAUAUAAUUUCUGUCUACAAGAAAGCCACAGUCUAAAAAGUAGAAACAUGAACAAAUUGUAACAAUAAAUAGGCUAAAUUCAAAAUCAGAGGAGUUUGUUUCUAUUUUAAACAGCUCUAGUCAGGAAGUGUUAGAGAGUUCUAAACAGGAAAUGUUCCAACACACCAUCUAAGCAUGAAGCAGGAGACACCCAUAAUUGAGUUUGCUGCCACCAACCCCAACAGCAAGAAUUCCAGUCCUGCUGCUGCAAAGUAAGUGUCACUCUGAUUUUAUUGCUGCUGUGUAACCCAGUUUUAGACUCUCUGGUUCUCACUUAAUGUUCUAAAAAAGUAUUAAAGAGAAAAUUUUAUUCUGGUGAUGAGCCCAUCCACUGCAGCCAUCUCAACAUCAUACCAAUUAUAAGCCUAUCAUUUAAAAAGAAAGCUGUUAGUUUAACUUAUUUAUCCAAAUAUCAGUAUUACAUAAACAUAUUUGUCAUCAGACUUUGGACUUAUGGGUUAAAUAGCAUAUAAAUAUGAUUAGAGCCUUAAAGUUUACACUUCUCUGGUUCGCUCAAAUUUUUUUCAAAAUAGCAUAUGCCUUUCUAAACAAUGGUUAGUAUAUUUUUCAAAAUGAACAUUAAAAUGUAUAUUUUCCAAAAACAAAAUACAGCUCCCAUUGGUAAAUGAUGCUAUUGAGACACAACAGACAACUUCUCUUGGGAACCAUUUAAUCAGUGCUCACUUUUGCACUCUUUCCAGAAAUGUCAAUGGCUUUGAAAUAUAGAAGUAUAUUAUACAAAUAAACUUAUACUUAUUCAGUAUUGUGCAAUAUUUAGUAUUUCUUCUAGCCAUCUCUUGCUGAAUAGUAAGCCAUUCCAAAACUUACGGAAUUAUUUAUUGUUUAAUAUUGUUUAUUGUUAUUAUUUGUUUAGUAAUUUUAAUAACGUUAUUUCUCAUGGUUUUGUGGGUUGAUGGGCACUACAAAAGUUCUCUUUUGGAGUCUUUCUUGCAGUUGCGGUUGCUUGGCUGCUGCUGAAGUCACCUGAAAGCUCAAUUAGGCUAAAGAGUCUAGACGGGUCACUUACAUGGUUGGCAGUGCAUAUUGGCUGCUGAGUGUGAUGCCUAUCUGACCUCUCCAUGUUACCUGGAGUGCUCAUAACGUGGUAGUUUGUCCCAAGACACACAGGCAAAUACUAUAAAGCUUCUUAGGACCUAGCCUUGGAGGUCCUAGAACAAGACUUCUGCUCCAUCCUUUUGGAAAAGCAAGUCAUUGUGACCAGCACAGAUUCAAGAAAUGGGAGAUUCGACUCUGCCUGUCAAUGUAAACAGCAGCAUGUGCAUGCAGGGAGGAAAGAAAUCGAGGGCAUCAUCUAGAAGACUAUCAUAUCACACCAUUAUUCCAACUAAUGAACAUUAUGUUUUAGAUGGGUAGUACUAGCUACUCAUCUCUCCCCCAGAAACCCAAGCUAAGCAUGGACAUAUUGAAGAGAAUGUCAGCACCAUUAAAAAAAAACUCUAGAAAAAUCACAUGUGAUGACUGAGGUUAAUUCAGUCUGUCAAUUACAUCAAUAUAAUUGCCUUCUUGUAGCCCUAAGUAUGGUGAAGCAGAAUUGAAUUCUACAAAAGUCUUUCAUCUGUUUUCCUAUGGAAUAAUUAACAAACCCAAUAAAUGUAUAAAUAGCAUGAA
rnacentral:lncRNA from 1 species